rnacentral:rRNA from 1 species
CUACGGAGGAUGCGAGCGUUAUCCGGAUUUAUUGGGUUUAAAGGGAGCGUAGGUGGGAUAUUAAGUCAGCUGUGAAAGUUUGGGGCUCAACGUUAAAAUUGCAGUUGAUACUGGUUUCCUUGAGUACGGUACAGGUGGGCGGAAUUCGUGGUGUAGCGGUGAAAUGCUUAGAUAUCACGAAGAACUCCGAUCGCGAAGGCAGCUCACCGGGCCGGAACUGACACUGAUGCUCGAAAGUGCGGGUAUCAAACAGGAUUAGAUACCCUGGUAGUCCGCACAGUAAACGAUGAAUACUCGCUGUUUGCGAUACACGGUAAGCGGCCAAGCGAAAGCGUUAAGUAUUCCACCUGGGGAGUACGCCGGCAACGGUGAAACUUAAAGGAAUUGGCGGGG